rnacentral:rRNA from 1 species
UACGUAGGUGGCAAGCGUUGUCCGGAAUUAUUGGGCGUAAAGCGCGCGCAGGCGGUUUCUUAAGUCUGAUGUGAAAGCCCACGGCUCAACCGUGGAGGGUCAUUGGAAACUGGGAAACUUGAGUGCAGGAGAGAAGAGUGGAAUUCCACGUGUAGCGGUGAAAUGCGUAGAGAUGUGGAGGAACACCAGUGGCGAAGGCGCCUCUUUGGCCUGUAACUGACGCUGAGGCGCGAAAGCGUGGGGAGCAAACAGG